AGGUUCCUGUGUUAACAGAAUAUUCCGGCCCAUCCAUCCCCAGAGCACCAACCAGGACCCCCAACAGGACCAAGGAUCUAACCAGGUUCAGUCUCCUGAUGCUGGCUAUACAGAAAAGCCAACUGAUCCAAAUGAAGAUAGCGACUACUGUGAGAUGAAGACAGUAAAAAUUACUGCAUCUUCUGGGCCGGUUGAUGUAACCUAUGCUGAUAUUGACCUAAAAACGAUGGUCAAAACCCAGAAGAUGAAAA